rnacentral:rRNA from 1 species
UACGGGGGGUGCGAGCGUUGUCCGGAUUCACUGGGCGUAAAGGGCGCGUAGGCGGCCCGGUCAGUCGGUCCUUUAAGAGCGGGGCUCACCCCCGUGGGGGGACCGGGACGGCCGGGCUGGGGCGCGGCAGAGGGGGACGGAAUGCCGGGUGUAGUGGUGAAAUGCGUAGAGAUCCGGCGGAACACCGGUGGCGCAGGCGGUCCCCUGGGCCGAGGCCGACGCUGAGGCGCGAGAGCGCGGGGAGCGAACGGG